rnacentral:rRNA from 1 species
GACGUAGGGCGCGAGCGUUGUCCGGAUUUAUUGGGCGUAAAGAGCUCGUAGGCGGCUUGUCGCGUCGUCCGUGAAAACUUGGGGCUCAACCCCAAGCUUGCGGUCGAUACGGGGCAGGCUAGAGUUCGGUAGGGGAGACUGGAAUUCCUGGUGUAGCGGUGAAAUGCGCAGAUAUCAGGAGGAACACCGGUGGCGAAGGCGGGUCUCUGGGCCGAUACUGACGCUGAGGAGCGAAAGCGUGGGGAGCAAACAGG